GGAGGGUGCGGGGGGAUUUCUCCAGUCGUAUACCCUGCAGAGACACUCUCUCCUGGGAGACGGCAGACACGCUGCAGCUGAUUGAAUCAUGCUGGAGUGAAACCAAGUCUUCUGUGAUUCAGGAUCAGAUGAGCUCUGUCCUGAGACCCGCUGAUGGAAUUGACAUGCAGCGCAGACAUCAGCAGAGCUCUCUGGGAGAGCGAGGUGUUUAUUUCCUGAAGGUCAGGCCUUUUGUGUGGAGAAACUUCUUGCCAGAUGAGAUAGGGGAGUAAAUUGCAGAUCUAUCAUUCCCUCCC